GAGCUCCCUGCCGGUUCUGGGGCGCUGGAGGGCCCGUCCCGCAGGGGGCCUGCUCGUCCUGCGCGAGGCCCCCACCUCUGCCCCGACGUUAACGGCCGAGCGCUCCCUGCCGGAGGAGGCCUGCAGCUGGCGAAGGUGUGCGGACCGAAGCCUUAGCCCCCAACCCGGUUUCUCCCCACCGCGGAACCCGCGUGUUUUCUGUGUACCUCGACUGUGUGCCUCCCGCGUGGUCGCGUUCCCAGCUGUGAACUCUGGAACGGUGGCGUGUCACCUGUCGGUUCCCUAAAGCCUCACAGCCGUGCCUGCCUGUUACAUGGGCUGCUUAUGAGCGAGCCAGCCACUGGGUUGGGGUAGAAGUCUUGGCAUCAAAGCUUCGUUGACUUAAAUGGCUAAAUUAGAAACAAAGCCGUAGCAGGUGAACCUUUACUGAGUGAAUGGAAGGAAAGGUAGGAAGAUGGAAAAUAACGCUUCUAAGUAAUGGCCUAGGCUGAGCACGUAAAAACCCCACAAAUUAAGAGUAUCGGAAAAACCCAAACUUGGGAAAAAGUACAUAAUGGAUUAACAGGAAGAGCAGAAGAGUGAGGCUGGCAAAUGUGGAAAGCUGGAGAAUAUGCUGUUACGUGGCCACGCUUACAAACCAGAACAAGAUUUGAGAAGCAUUCUUCCGGGGCAAAGGGCUCUGAGCACCCCAGUUCUUAAAUUCAGAGAUCUGCCAGCAGCAGGAGCCAGCCAUCUCUCUCGAGGAGACGGAGAAGGAUAACAAACAGAAUGAUCUACAAGCCAGGAGGCAGCAACAGUGGGACAGAAAAAGAUGUAAGAAACGGAUAAGCAUCCACAGCAAAACAAGGGAGAAUGAGGAAGUGGGGAGACUCCAUUAUGGGGAAGAACAAAAAAGUGGAGAUAGCAUGGAUGACAGUAACUGAAGGAACACGGUGGGUGGGCUGGGUGGCCCAGUGUAUGUAUCUCAGGAAUGGAUGGCUCAGCGGGCAGGUGGCAGGGAGGGGAUGUCCCAGAAGGUGUCGGGAACAGAUGAGGAGGUACGAUGAACAGAGCGAAGAGGAGUGGGGUGACGCGGACGUGUCUCUAUCACAGACUUCCUAGAGGCCGUUAUGGAACGAAUGGAGGGGAGAGAAAAACCUGCUGGAGAAACAGUGACCGGCAAUUUCCCGGGACCAGACACACACCUUAGAUAUUCAAGGAAGACAUUAGGACCGCAGCGUGCAGACGCUCAUGACGUGCCUCACCGGUAGAACUUAACGUCAGAGACCAUGAGAAAUCUUCAUAGUCUCCAAAAAAGAAAAACUAGAUCCUUUUCAAAGAAACAAGAACCAGACACCAACUUUCUCAGUAACGACUCCAGAAAUAAGGAGACCGAGAAAUGAUACAGCGUUGAACCUAGAAGUUUAUCCAGGUUGAUUAUUACUGACUUUUGAACGUGAGACACAACAUCACCUAAGAGCGCAGUGAGUGCAUUUCCCUAACUCCCUUGAAAGAACUCUUUGAGGAUGUGCUCUGAGGAGAAGAAAAAUGAUUUCAGCAGAAAACACAAAAGUCAGGAGGCAAAGUAAAGAAGCUGCUGAAUUCUGUGCUCUGCAUAGGCAAUGAUAAAAACAAAUUAUUUUAGAACCAUGAAUGGGAGUUGUUCUUCUGCUGACACUACACAGCCCUGCCUCUGCAGCCCCCCGUCCCAGCCCCAGGGCCUUGAAACGGCACUCGAACCGCAUUCCUUUCUUGGUGUCCUCCUUCCCCAAUCCACCCGCUGGGUGGUCUUACUUGAUAACUGGUGCCAGAGGCCCAAACGUCUCUUCGUGAGAGCAGAGCAUGUCCCUGGUGACAUUGCUGAGCAGUGUGGGCUCAAAGAAGUUUUUUCCAAGUUGGUGUCGCUUCCCGCCUGUCACAACAGUGG